rnacentral:rRNA from 1 species
UAGGGAAUCUUCCGCAAUGGGCGAAAGCCUGACGGAGCAACGCCGCGUGAGUGAUGAAGGUCUUCGGAUCGUAAAACUCUGUUAUUAGGGAAGAACACAUGUGUAAGUAACUGUGCACGUCUUGACGGUACCUAAUCAGAAAGCCACGGCUAACUACGUGCCAGCAGCCGCGGUAAUACGUAGGUGGCAAGCGUUAUCCGGAAUUAUUGGGCGUAAAGCGCGCGUAGGCGGUUUCUUAAGUCUGAUGUGAAAGCCCACGGCUCAACCGGGGAGGUGCAUUGGAAACUGGGAAACUUGAGUGCAGAAGAGGAAAGUAGAAUUCCAUGUGUAGCGGUGAAAUGCGCAGAGAUAUGGAGGAACACCGGUGGCGAAGGCGGCUUUCUGGUCUGUAACUGACGCUGAUGUGCGAAAGCGUGGGGAUCAAACAGG